CUUGCUUUUUGCUGACGAGUGGCGAACGGGUGCGUAACGCGUAUGCAACCUACCUUCUUCUGAGGAAUAGCCCAGAGAAAUUUGGAUUAAAACCUCAUGAUAAUAUUUAUUCGCAUGUUUAAAUAUUUAAAAUUUCGAUGGAAGAAGAUGGGCAUGCGUAACAUUAGUUUGUUGGUGAGGUAAUGGCUCACCAAGACUACGAUGUUUAGGGGGUCUGAGAGGAUGAUCCCCCACACUGGUACUGAGACACGGACCAGACUCCUACGGGAGGCAGCAGUGAGGAAUAUUGGUCAAUGGACGAAAGUCUGAACCAGCCACGCCGCGUGAAGGAUGACUGCCCUACGGGUUGUAAACUUCUUUUGUAUAGGAAGAAACCCCUCUACGUGUAGAGGGUUGACGGUACUAUUCGAAUAAGCACCGGCUAACUCCGUGCCAGCAGCCGCGGUAAUACGGAGGGUGCGAGCGUUAUCCGGAAUUAUUGGGUUUAAAGGGUGCGUAGGCGGAAAUUUAAGUCAGUGGUGAAAGCCUGCAGCUUAACUGUA
rnacentral:rRNA from 1 species